GUGAGUAAUGCCUAAGAAUCUGCCUGGUAGUGGGGGAUAACGUCCGGAAACGGGCGCUAAUACCGCAUACGUCCUGAGGGAGAAAGUGGGGGAUCUUCGGACCUCACGCUAUCAGAUGAGCCUAGGUCGGAUUAGCUAGUUGGUGGGGUAAAGGCCUACCAAGGCGACGAUCCGUAACUGGUCUGAGAGGAUGAUCAGUCACACUGGAACUGAGACACGGUCCAGACUCCUACGGGAGGCAGCAGUGGGGAAUAUUGGACAAUGGGCGAAAGCCUGAUCCAGCCAUGCCGCGUGUGUGAAGAAGGUCUUCGGAUUGUAAAGCACUUUAAGUUGGGAGGAAGGGCAGUAAGUUAAUACCUUGCUGUUUUGACGUUACCAACAGAAUAAGCACCGGCUAACUUCGUGCCAGCAGCCGCGGUAAUACGAAGGGUGCAAGCGUUAAUCGGAAUUACUGGGCGUAAAGCGCGCGUAGGUGGUUCAGCAAGUUGGAUGUGAAAUCCCCGGGCUCAACCUGGGAACUGCAUCCAAAACUACUGAGCUAGAGUACGGUAGAGGGUGGUGGAAUUUCCUGUGUAGCGGUGAAAUGCGUAGAUAUAGGAAGGAACACCAGUGGCGAAGGCGACCACCUGGACUGAUACUGACACUGAGGUGCGAAAGCGUGGGGAGCAAACAGGAUUAGAUAGCCUGGUAGUCCACGCCGUAAACGAUGUCGACUAGCCGUUGGGAUCCUUGAGAUCUUAGUGGCGCAGCUAACGCGAUAAGUCG
rnacentral:rRNA from 1 species